GACGUAGGGGGCCAGCGUUGCUCGGAAUUACUGGGCGUAAAGGGUUCGUAGGCGGUGCGGCAAGUUGGGAGUGAAAUCUCUGGGCUUAACCCAGAGGCUGCUUCCAAAACUGCCGUGCUAGAGUGCGAGAGAGGCCAGUGGAAUUGCAGGUGUAGCGGUGAAAUGCGUAGAUAUCGGGAGGAACACCUGUGGCGAAGGCGACCCCCUGGUUGGAUACUGACGCUGAGACACGAAAGCGUGGGGAGCAAACAGG
rnacentral:rRNA from 1 species